UGGGUGACAGAGCAAGACUCCGUCUCAAAAAAAAAAAGCAGAGAACGGACCCCUCACUAGACACUGGGGCUUUUUUCUGAAGGCUACUGUGUCAUAUAAAAUUUAUAUUAAAUAAAUUGAUAUGCUUUUCUCUUGUUAAUCUGUCCUUUGUUAGAGGGGUGUCAACCAGGAACCUUGUGAUGCGUGAGGAAAAAAUAUUACCUUUUCCCCCUACUCUUUCUGGCACCCAACAAACAAGUGGGGUGGCAAAGACACCCCACUUGGGACAACUGGCAAAAGCUCUAUGAUCAGAAGAUGGCAUAAGUGGGGCUGGGCACAGUGGCUCAGUGCCCAGCUGGGAUUACGCCUGUAAUACCAGCACUUUGGGAGGCCAA
rnacentral:lncRNA from 1 species